GGAGGGUGCGAGCGUUGUUCGGAAUUAUUGGGCGUAAAGCGCGUGUAGGCGGCUUGGUAAGUCGGGUGUGAAAUCCCGGGGCUCAACCCCGGAACUGCACUCGAAACUGCCUCGCUAGAGUCCCGGAGAGGAAGGCGGAAUUCCCGGUGUAGAGGUGAAAUUCGUAGAUAUCGGGAGGAACACCAGUGGCGAAGGCGGCCUUCUGGACGGUGACUGACGCUGAGACGCGAAAGCGUGGGGAGCAAACAGGAUUAGAUACCCUGGGUAGUCCACGCCGUAAACGUUGGGUGCUAGGUGCCGCGGGUAUUGACCCCCCUGCGGUGCCCGACGCUAACGCAUUAAGCACCCCGCCUGGGGAGUACGGUCGCAAGGCUA
rnacentral:rRNA from 1 species